rnacentral:lncRNA from 1 species
GGGAAGAGGCAGCGCGGUAGUGGCUCUAUGACAGCAUCAUUAUGGAUAAUUGGACUGUCAUAUGCCGGCAUUACGAGGAUCCAACAUAUCAGGUUACACAUUCAAACUUUUUUUUUAGAGUUUAAUGAUUGAAUUAUUUAUUCUUAAAUUACAUUUAUUAUCUACUAAUUUGACUGGUAACUAUACAGAGAAGAUGUAUCCAGAAUGCUAU